CCAAACCCAUUUUGUUCUUCUUUAUUCCAACAGAAUGCGCAGUACGCUCGACUUCAGCAAUGGUCACCUAGAAAAGAACGAACCCAUUCCCAAAUUUUUGCCUCUUCAAUUCCCCUUUUCUCCUUCAAUUCGUACCUUUAAGCGUGCCUAGCACGAGCUCGAGGAUAACUGGAGGUUUCCAGAACGUUCCCAGCAACAUUAUCCUCUCAAUGUCCUUUCCUUUUGCCAAUUUUCGUUCAAAAAUGGUACGAAUUUGUACACUACCUAGUUGGCAAUCCUUAUCCGCUUAAGAAUUUUGAAAAAAAUGCCCAAUUCUCACAUCGUUUCCCCCCUCAAUUUCAACCCAAAAGUUGUCCUAUAUAAACUCCUCCCUUCUGCUGUUCAUAGUGGCGUUUUGAGACCUGAGAGUACCCCUAAAAAGGUUUAGGAAUUCUCGUCUUUGUAGUUUAAAAUUUUGUGGUUGCUCGAGUUGAAAGAAGUGGAAUCGUCUCCGUCAAACUCGCCGUCCAGUUCGCUGCCCCCUACCAGGUAAUCUUUUCUUUAUUUCAACAUUUUCGUUGGCUCUUAAUUAUGUCUUAUUCAUUGAAAUUUUGUUUGGCAUUAGCUGUUUAAAUAUGUUUUCAGUAGCUUAAAAAAUUGUAAAAUUGCUUAUCUUUGAAUUCGACUAAUUUAUAUGUGAGAUGGCCAAGCCUUCCUCUCGGUUAAUUAAAUUUCAGCAUUUUCUAUUGUCUAAAGAUAAGUUUAAUCAGUGUUGAGUGCAGUUAGAGUUGUGAUUUUUUUUUUGUAUUCAAGCAUUCCUAGUUGUUAGUUCGAAGUCUGUAACUUGCAUUUAUUUUUAUUUGGAAAUCUCUUGAAUACCUAGUUUUCUCUUGAUUGAUUCACUUAUCUAAGUGGUAACAAAAUUUGAAAUAUGGAGUUGUACAUUCCCAUUCAUGAUCAGUGAAAUGCUCUUCCCUUUUAUCUAAUCUUUUUAUGUGGUUAAACAUUCAUUUACAUGUUUGGGCUGUAUGUAUACCUUUGGAUUUCACAUAUCAGUAGAGUAUUAUGCAUUCCUUCCCUUGUUUACAUUCCAUCCAGUUCCCUUUUCACAAUGUGGGUACCUUACUUGCUUCUUGUGUUAAGGAUAUUAUUUGUUUUGGAAUCAUGAGUUGAUCCUAUGUUUAGUUGAGCUCUAGAUGAAGUUGAGUUUUAGUUCAACUUCUCUUUGGUUGCUCCUAAAUCCCUUAGAUCCUCAUGUCACUCCUUUGAGCUACAGAUCCUAAAUUGCGUACAUUGGCUUGGUUUGGAUUUUGUCCUAUUUGUUGAUUAUUAGUUUAAAUUUGGAUGUUACAUAUCCGUUGUUCUAUUUGAGAGUUCAUAUGUCUUGUAAUCAUGAUCUUUUAUUGGUUUGCUCAUUUUCUUAAAUGGUAGAGCUUGUUCUUCCCUUAUUUUUAUAAUUUUCAUGUCAGUUUAAAGAACUCAGCAUGUCAGCCUGAAGUACUUUGAAGUCCUCGCUAUGAUCUGUUAUUUUCGCUACCUUCAACAUAAUUAAGUUAAUACAUGUCAUUUAGUCUUAUGUGAUUUUCGUGUUAUGUUGCCUUGUUCAUUCACAGUCCUACCAGAUGUUUAAACUUAAAAUCUAAAAAGAGAUUUGAGUUUCGUACACUGAGUAGUGUUGGGUUUUGUCUUGGUGUGAUACUUGUAUGAAUCUGUUUCAAGUUCCUUAUUGGUUUGAUCAAAGUUGUAUUUAGUAGGAGGUUACUUGAUAGCAAAAUGGAUUAAGAAGGCUUUGUUUAGUUGUUGCUUUAUUUUAAGUUGUGGCUGCAUAUUGUCAUUGUUGUUUUGCUUACACUAAUUGCGAACUGCUUAUGAAAUGGUAUGUCGUUCAAGCAUUUUCGAUUACAAAAUGUGUUCCCCUGUUCAUUUACUGAUCGUAGGUGCAAAGAUAUCAACUCUUUUUUUCUUUAACAAUUUGUUGUUAAUCUAAUCUCAAAAUGACAUAAAUCUUCCAAGUGCUAUCCUUGAAUACUCUUAGAUAUUCUUUGUUGUAAUUCUAGUUCAAUAACUCUUGAUAGGAUUCUGUUUAAAUUUAACCUGCUUUUGGUAGAUUUCUUAAUUGUUGUGUUUAAAUAUGGUCAUAUGUGUCAUGUUUUAAAUUAAAUUCGUGUUGACAUUAGCUUGUCCCUUAAGCAAUGAGUUUAUACUUACUUGAUGUAGUUCUUUCUUUAGUUCAUAUUUGCGGGAUGUCAAGUCUAAACUAAAAUCUGGAAAAUCUCUAUCUUUAUUUUAUUUCGCUGAUAGAUAAUUAUAGUCAAUUGUUCAGUAUAAUUUCAGUAGUUAUAAGUAUGUCACUUAGAUUUUUGGAGCAUACAUGACAUUGUUUGCAUAGCCAGACUUCUCAUACGUUGAUUGAUUGUUUUCAGCUUUGAUUUAAUAUCAUCUUAAUAAUGUUGUUAAUCUUUCUCUCUUUUUCUUGGUGCAUGAAUACUUUCCCCUCGAGUCCUUGGACUCCUUGCUCCCUUGCAUUCUCCUCUCUUUGAGUCAACUUCCAUCAAGUCGUGACAGGGAAGCUAAUAUCAUCGGGUUAAAUUUCAAAUCAUUGGCAGCAGUUCAAUAGCAGAGUUACAACACUCCCAAAGGCUGAAAGUUGGAAAAUUUGGACAUAAAAGAAUCGAAUUCGACUGAAGUAGCAGAAGCCCCAAAGGGCUGAAAAUUUGAAGUUUUUGGACUUUCAAAAAUAAAAGUCCAAUGUUCAGCAGAUUACGGCAAUCUCGACAGCAUUGGGAAACUGGAAGUCCGGAUUAUUCACUCUUGUUUGCCCAUUUUCUUUGUUAUUAUUUAGAUGACCCCUAAUGUUUUUGUUUUUCAUAACUUGGAUGAAUCCUUUGGAGGUUUUUAAUGGCUUUCUAUUUCGUCAUCUUUAAGUAUUCAAUUUUUAAACUCUUUUAAGUUAGGCAAUCUAAGCUUUAAGACUAACUUGAGAAUUAUCCAUAUUUUUUCAUAGUUAGUAAUUAGCUUUGAAUCCACGUUGAUGAGAUUGAGCUAACCAUUUAGUUCAAAAUCUUAACUCGGAUAAAAUGUUAAGUUAAAAUUAUUGUUUUGACACUUUACGAUUUGACUUAUUUCAUUACUUGGAAUAAGAUUAGUGUAUAAGUAUUGAAAGACUUUUUGCUAUUUUAAAACAAGAUUUUUCACAAGUAAUCUUAAGUUUUCUUUUAAAAUUAGCCAACUUUUAAAUCCGUUGGUAAACCGCAUGUUAGCGGAUUCUCUAAGAUGCCUAAACCCUUCCUUAGAGAAUUAGUUAAACCCUUACUCGACUCUGAUUUUAUUUAAAAUGUUUGUUCUUUAAAAAAUCCCCUUUUAAAUGGUUUUCUUAAUUUUUCCUAAAAAAUUAAGUGGCGACUUCCAAAUUGCAAUUUUUCCAAAAUCAAUAAAAUUGUCAAAGUUGCGAAAUGGUUUUGAAACCUUAGUUUUCGAAAUCGGGUAAUAACACUUACCAUUCUUGAAUUGCGUAUAAGGUCGUACUAAGUGACUCUUAAUUUUCUUAGGUGUUAAGGUCAAUUGUUUACACUCUGUUUGGAUCAUUGUUACCCAUUGUAUUGUAUUGUAUCGUUACUACACCUACAAUGUUUGUUUUGAUUGUUACUUUAAAUGUAUUGUAUUGUAUUGUUAAAUUCCGUUGUUACGUAACAAUGAAAACCCCCAUUUUAUGGAACAACCAAUUUGGUGUGUUUCCAUUGUUACUUAAUUUCUUUUUCCAUUAUAUCUUUACAUAAUAUUUCAUAAUAUUAUUUUACCGUUUACCUUAUAUUAUUUAAUUCUAGCCAAACCUCCUACCCUAGAAUAAUUAAGGAUAUUUUAGUAAAUUUAUAAAUUACAAUACAAUACGAUACAGUCAAACCAAACAAUAAAAAUGUUAUUAAACAACAACAAACAAUACACUUAUAUAUAGAGAGAAACUAGCUUAUCCUACACCAUAAAAACACCCAAAUUAGAACAUAAAGCAUCACAGUAAACUACAAAAUAUUUACCUUUCAUGGGAAAAGCUAGAAUAGCUUUUGUGGUCAGCAAAUUCUUGAGCAUUUGGAAUCUCUCCUCACAUUUAUUAGACCAUUCGAAUGAAACCUCCUUAUGAGUCAAAUGGGUCAACUUAGAGGAAAUAGAAGCAAACCCCUUCACAAACCGAUGGUAAUAAUCGGCUAAGCCCACAAAAGUGUGAAUCUCUAAGACUGAAGUGGUCCUAGUCCAAUUCUUAACUAUUUUUAUCUUAUGUAGAUCAACCAUCACUCACUCUUUAGAAACCAUAUGCCCUAGGAAGUACACUAUAGACAACAAAAAUUCACACCUAAAUUUUUUAGCAAACAACCGCUUCAUUUUAGCAACCCCAAAACAAUCCUAAGGCGAUUCUCAUGCCUCUCCUUUCUCUUAGAAAAUAUCAAGAUGUCAUGAAUAAAAUAACGAAUAAAUAUAAAUAGUGUUUGAAAACACUAUUCAUUAAGCUCAUAAAAGUGAUAGGAGCAUUAGUAGGUCUGAAAGGUAUAACCAGAAAUGCACAAUGUGAAUAUAAGGUCCAAAAGGUUGUCUCACAAAUAUUUUUAGCCUGAAUCUUAAGUUCAUCAUACAUGGGCCUCAAGUCAAUCUUAGAGAAGAUUGACACACCUUGAAACUAAUCAAAGAAGUCAUAUAUGCACAAAAGGGGAUACUUAUUUCAAAUAGUGACCUUGUUCAACUAGUAAUAGUCAAUACACACAUACUCCUAUAUUUCUUCUUCACAAAUAGGACGAAAGCACCCCAAGGAGAUGAACUUAUUCAUAUAAACACCUUACUGAACAAGUCUCACAACUAAUCUUUCAACUCUCUCAACUCAAUCAAUGGAAAAAUCAAUAUCCUAAUUUAUUGGUAUGUCAAGUAAGUUAGUCAGAAACACCUCUAAUACAUUACAUACCACUCGAACAUACCCAAUAAAAGAUGCAUCUACACUUGUAUAUCAAAGAUGAUCCAUAAAUGCUAAAUAUCCUCUCUAUACUAACUUAUUUACACAAAUAUAGGAUAUGAUCUUUUUAGGAGAAGGAUUAUAAACUCCCUUCCACUCUAAUCUAAACACACCAAGCAUGGAGAUAUAGACAAUUUUAGUAUGAUAGUCUACGAUAGAAUGAUAUGGAUUCAGCCAACUUAUCCCCAAAAUAACAUCACAAUAUAUUAUAUCUAGGAUCACUAUAUCAACCCAAGUUUAAUAACCUAUAAAAGUCACCUAACAAGAAUUGUAGACCGUAUGUAGAUCAUAGAAUCUUCCAGUAGAGUAGGAACAUGAAUAGGAACAUCAAGAGAUUAAUAAAUCAUAUCCAUACUAACAAUAAAGUAAGAAUAUACAUAAGAAAAGGCGAAACCGAGAUAAAAACAAGAGCAAGUAUCCAUUCGGUCAUAAACAAGAAGGGUACUUAUGAUCUUUACGCCAGUCACCUUAUGUUUACCCAAUAAAACAUAAACAAUCAACUUUUACCAGUCUGGGUACUUUCUCUACUCGGCUGAGUUCUACCUCUACCUUCCUAAGCAUCUCCUCUAGCGUGAUGAGUGCUACCCCUACCGAUUAUGUGUCCACCUCACCCAAGAUGAGGACGAAUCCUACUAAAUGGCUCUCUUCUUUAUCUUCUAGAACAAUAGAUUGAAAAGUUGGUUGUAGAACAAUAUUUCUAGUCUAUCUAAAUCUAGGACAUCAUUUAUGAAUGUGCUCUAGCUUACCACGCUCUUAAUAGACUCAGUCCAAAGUUGGCCUCUAUUUUGAAGUAAAAGAGGUUGAAUAUCCUCGCUAUCUUGAUAGUUCUUGUGUGGUCCAAGAUGGACCUCUGCAGAUGAUACCAGCAUAGCUACUUGAAUUGGGCAUCUAGAAUACCCCUUAAGAAAUUAGUGCCAAGGGAACUAGCCCCUUAGAAAAGGACCCAUUGAAACCACCACCCUUGAUGACCUUCUUUUCUGGAGACUUAGGACAAAAAUGUUGCUUCACACCUUCUACAUUCAUAGCAUGCUCAACCACUUCCUAAAAUGACAUACUAUAAGUUACAAUCUAUAGAGUUGCAAGCUGGAGUCCCAUAUUUAGUCCCUUAACAAAUCAUCCAUUGGCUGGGUGCUUUAAAUAAGAAGAUUUCAAAAAAAUGUGUAUGUAAAAAGAAGUAUAUGGUGUUUUCUCAUCUUCUAUGGAAAGUAGUUGCAAAGAAUACAUGGAUAAGGAGUGUAAAAAAGUCUCAUAUUAUAUGAAAAACAAACUCCCCUGCUCUAUAAUGGUGAACUCAUUAUGUCUACUUUCUCGCAAAGUACAAGGAACAUACUUUUCAAAAAAGAUAGAGUAAAAUUGGGUCCAAGUCAAAGAAAGUGAACUGAUAGGUCUACACUUAACAUAUGCCCUCCAUCAUAAACUUAGUCAGCCUAUGCCUGCUAAGUACCGCUUGCUGGAACUCAUAUUACACGUCUGCACCCUAUAGAUCAUAGUAUGAGUUCUCACCAUUGACGUGUACCUCAUGCAUAGCAACUAUUUCUCGAAAACCUGAGGUGAGCUCCUAACGUUUGGAGUUGCCAAUCUCCUUCUAGUUUUACUGGACCAAUCUUUAUUUUGUAUUUGGAGAUAAUCAUGUGUAUAUUUGUAUUAACCUUGUACUCAUGUUGUAAAUAGUUAUUGGACUAUCGACUAAUACCAGGUCAUGAGGUGUUAUAUGUAUAUCUUGUUUCUCUUUCUUUAUCUUUUUGUUUCUCUAUUUGUUCUUUAUUCUCUGAAUUCUCCUCUUCCGUAUGAUAGCCCAUUGCUUCUGGUUCCGAGUUAUGGGUUUGCCUUAUCUACUAGUGGAAUGUUAGUAGGUUCCAUCAUGACGUGGGAUUUCGGGUCAUGACACUUUUGACCUUGAUAUUUAAUCUUGAUUGACUUGUUCUUGAUUGUACUUGUCUUCAAGGGACUCGAGCUUGAUCUUGAAUCUUGAUGAACUUGUACAUUAAUUCAAGUGCAUUUGAGCUUGUUCUUGAAUCUGGUGGUCCUGGUCUUGAGUUGUUUCUUGAACUUGAGUGCUUGAAUGCUUCAACUUGUAGGUUGUAGAGAAAUCUACGGUGUUUGAUCCACAAGCUCUCUUUGGCUACUUGUUGAAAUUCUGAUGUCUUUUCUUAACGAUGUGGACCCUAUUUAUUGUUAUAGAAUGGAAGAGUCGUGAUGAGGACAUGCUUCCUCAGACCAAUCUGAUUUCAGUGACAUGAUGAUAUUUGAUUGGUCAAAACAUGUCACUUGUACUCAUGUGACACAUUUUUAUUUGUCUUUGAUUUGGCUAGGCAUGUCAUAUCAUUUGUUACGUGGCAUAAGCCUGUUGGCUCCUUCGCUUUACUUGGUCUGCUACAUCAUUUAAUAUGUGACACCAAAUUUGACUUGUAGAAUGAGAUGACAACUUGGACUUUGGCAACGUAGGUCUGUCAUUUGUUAUCCAUUUUGACAGGCUAGCCCAAUGAAAUUUAGAUUUAAUUAAAUCCUUACUUAGUGGACUUUAAAAAUUAAUCAAAUAGUACUUAUCCAUAAUAUUUAUUUGGACUAAUAUAUCUUGAGUUUAAUAAAAUCUAAAUUCUUUACGGAUUUUAAAUUUAACAGAACUUUGUUAUCCACAAAAAUAUAGUGAUAUUUAACCAUGGUUCAUUAUUUAUUCUGAAAAAAGGUAGACUAACCAUAUGAAAAUAUCGAAAAUAAUUAUUUAUAAUUAACAUUCAUAGUAAGAAAAUAUAUGAAGAGUAAAUAUUCAUAUAAAAAAUAAAACUUUUCCAAGGGAAUUCAUCUUGAUUGAAAUUAAAACUUUAGUGAGAAGAAUUCAAACCAAAAAACAUAAUAAAAUAAUGUGGAUCUUGCCCCAAUAAUAGUGAGACGAACUGAAUCUUAGGCUCAAGACCAGUUUAUGUUCGCUUGGACUAGUGUUUGGGUCUUCCACUACUACUUAAAGUGUUUUAGGUGGUUCAAUUUUGACAUUAAUUAGUCAUUUUUUUAUUGUUAUUGCUGUUACAUGCUAAUAUUGAUACUUUGGAGCACACAUAUUUACUUUCCUUGCCUUUGGCUCGAGGAUGACAUAUUCAAGAGGAGUCAUUGAGCGUUAGGUACACAAAAGAAAGUGGAGGAUUGACACCCAUAAUAUAAUUCGUAAAACCUUAACACCAAAGAGAGAAUCUAUUUAAUUUAAAGAUAAUGGAAAAAUUACUAAAAAAUCAUUUGAUUAAAAAAUAAUGAGAACCUAUGAAAAUAUUCAAAGAUUGUAUGUUAGUAUCAAAUUAUCAAUUUUAAUACAAAAAUAAUACAAUCAAUAAUAAUAAUAAUAAUAAUAAAAUUUGAUAUUGUAUACAAUCAAUAAUUCAAAUUGUUAUGAAAAAAUUAAGAGAUUGUGUGCUAAUACUAGGGAUAGCUAUGAAUAAUUAAUUGUAUAUAUCUAUUUAUCAGUACUCAAGUGUAUUUAGGAAUUAAUCUGAUAUUAUAUGUAAAUAUCUAAAGCAGAUGUGUUUGUGGUAAUUUUGGUCUUAUAAUAUAUUCUCUACGUAAUUUUCCCAUUCAAAAACUCCCAAGUCCCACAUCAUUUUGGGCAUGAUAUCCCCCCAAAAUCAAAUAUAUAAUAGCCAUCCUAUGCAUCGAAUAAAAGGGGGGAAAUUUAGGAAUUCUUAGGUGUAAGAGCAGUGCUCUUUCGUGAAACAAACCCACGAAGGUUCGGCCUAAGAAAUUUGAGAUUUUCUAAUUUUGUUUGUGGACGAAGCUGGAAGAAGGAUUUCAGGUAGCCCUCCCAGCUCCUGCUCUGCAAGAGGUAAUUGUCUCCUGUCUUCUGUUAUUUUAUUUUAGUUUAUAUUGCUUAGAAUAGAUUCAUUUUUAUAUUUGAGUUUUAAUUUUGCAUUCAUGUUUUUCUCUACAUAAAUUUCUUUUUUAUUUUUGUGCUUCAAAUAGAUUUAUUUCUAUAUUUGAGUUUCAGUUUUGCAUUUCUAUUUUUGUCUAGGUGUUUAUGCUUAGUUUAAAUUUUAGAAAAGUUUCAUUUUGUUUUUUGUCUUAGCUUUGAGAAGUUUGCAGUUUUCUUAUUUUUGUCCACUUAAACUACUGUAUUCAUUGAUAUAUGAAUGUUGUAGCAUGAUUUGAAGAGCUAAUAUCCUUCCUCAUUGAAUUCCAUAUGUCAUUAUAAGAAGAUCUUAUUAUGAGUUUAAAUUUAACUAUAUUAAGAUAGAUUUCAUCCGAAAUUUUACUUCUUUCAUGUUAUAAUUGAUUCACAUGUUUUUUAAUCAAUAUUUCUAGUUAGAUUUCUAUCAAUGGAACGGAAGAGCCAUCCAUUCCUAUUUCUUUUCAUUUGCUGAUUUUUUUUAUUAUUAUUUGGGAGUAUUUCUUAUUAAUAGAGUUAUAUAUGACUUGUAGAUAAAAGAUCUAUGAAUUUGAAAUGAUAUCUCAUCUAAAAAAGGGUCUCAACUAAUCUUCAUAAAUGCUAAAUGGUUUUAUAACUUUGCUACUUCUUCAUAUUUGACCUCCCUAACUUAUCAUAUAUGUGGAGAUAAAGAUGUGAGUUGUCUUGUCAUAUUUCAAUUGUUAAUGCUUGUUUGAUACUGCCUGAAAAGUAGAUUAAGUGACUUGGUACAUCAUGAUUGUCCCCUCUUUGUUCUAAACAAUUUGUUCGUCUAUAAUAGUUGGUUAAACCUCCUUUAUUUUAAGUGAAAUAAAAAGUAUUGUAAAUUAAAGAGGUAACAACUGUAUAAAUAUUAGUUUAUCUUAUAUAGAUAUGACUAUCUGUUUCAAGUAUGCAUUUCUUAUUUUUGGGCAAAAAUAUGAAAAACAAAAUUUUCCAAAGUCCCAUUAUUUUUAUCUAAAUACUUCUUUUCCCUAAAAAAAAGUCAAGUUCUAGCAGAGUUUUUUAUACCGAAAGUAAUGUACAAAUUUUAGAUUAUCAUAAAAAAUUUCACAUGAAUAAAAACUAUAUGUGAGUGUAUCUCACUCUCUAAAGAUGAUAUCAUGUAGGAGUAAUGAUUAUCAAAUAGCCAAAGUCACAAGGGUAAGUAAUAUUUUACUAAUUUAAGGGGUUUUGAAUAAAACACACUAAGUUUAGGGAUAUUCUCACAAACUAAAUAUCAUGAUAAUAACUAAAAUUUAGUAAGUUCGGAUAAGUCAUUUAUUCUAUCCAAUUUCUUUUUAUUGAUAAAUAAAAUAUAUACACUAGUGCCAAAUAAAGAAAUAAAGCAAAACAAUCAUCAUAAUUUUUAUUACAUCCAAACUCUAAAUAAAAAUUGAAAUGUCUUCAAACCCAAUUCCCCUGCCUUUUCUAAUUUUUUCUUUUUAUAUGUAUAUCCCUCAUUCUCUAUAUAAGAUGAUCAACAUCGAAGUAACAAAAAUGUUAGGAUGAAAUAGGAAACAUGGUAUGUUAAUGUACCAAUGCAUAUGUUGUAAAUAAAUCUUUUCUUAAAGCCAAUAAAUAGAGGCACAUACAAGGAAUCAGUUCAAGAAUGGUUGUUUUAGAAAAACAACAAAGAAAAGUAUUUGUGUUAUUUCCGAGUCAACAAUAGCAAUAGAUUUCUACUACUAACUCACCAAUUCCUCAGAUACAACAACAAUAGGUUUUUCUACAAUAACAUCAGAUGUUGAUUGAACAAAUGUUCAUCAAUUGCCAGUCUCCAACUUUGAUUAGCAAAUGUUGACCAUAGCCCCUGAGGCAUCAAUUGAGGAUUUGUCAAAUGAAUCUCGUCUUAUCAAUGAUGAAGAAAUCAUUUUCAUCUCAAGAAGACUCAAAAUGACAUUUUCCUCAUCUUCAAUACUACUAGUCUUCAGCCUAGCUAGAGUUUUUAUAUCACAAAGCCUUGAAUCAAUCCUAAGGGGCCAUAGUUGAAAUCUGCUAAAAGAAGUUGAGAUGAAGGCAAUUGAUGAAAAUUUGUUGAAUCAGCGACAGAUGUUGCUAUAGUAAAAUCUUUUGUUGUUGCUGCUGGGAAUUAAUUAAUUGGUAGUAGAACCUUUCUAUUGCUAUCGAUAAUGAAAAGAAAUAGUACAAACACUUUUCUUUGGGGCUUCGUUUAACCAAGUCAGCCUUGAAGUGACUCAUUGUAUGAGCUACUAUGCAUUGGCUUGAAGAAAAGUUUCUUUCACAACAAAUGCAUUGGUACAUCAACAUACCAUGUUGCCCAUUUUGUCCCUUCAUUUUUGUUACUUUCAUCGUCAUCAUUUUAAAGAGAGGAGGAGGAGGAGUUUAUAUAUAAUGUGAAGAAGUUGAAGAAAAAAGGGGGAGUUGGGUUUAGAGACAACUUUUAUUCAAAUUAUGAAUGUAUAAGAAUAUAUGUUUCUAUUUUAGUUUAUUUGUUUAUUUCAAAUAUGUUCAAAACCUGAAGAAAAGCUUAAUUGUCUCCAAACUCAAUUCUCCCUAUCACUUCUAUUUUUUCCCCUUUAUAUAUGCACUCUUCAUCCUCUCCCUAGGAUGAUGAAUAUGGAAAUAACAAAAUGGAGAGAUAGAAUGGGCAACAUGGUAUAUUGAUGUACCAAUGCAUGUGUUUUAAAAAAAAUAUGUUUGUUUGCAACAAAUUUUAAACAUACGAAAAAUAUAUUAACCAUAAGUAAAAUCUGAGGAAACAAAAAUAUUUUAUUGAUAAAAUAAUAUGGGUACAAAUCUGUUCCUCCUUUGAUUCUACUCUCCUAAGAUUUAUCCAUGAUUCGAGGGUCGUUUGUGGCGUAUUUCUCGAACUAGGAUGAUUUGGAUUUGAUCUCUUUAUGAAUAUUGCAUGAAUUUGUGGAAUAUUUGAGAUGCCUUUUCAAGGAAAUAUAGUACCCUUUAUAUAGGUGUGAACUGGUGUUUAGGGUUGGGUAGCUUCCAAGAACUCUAAUUGAAAUUGAACACACUUUGUAGAGUCCCAACUCUAAUUGAACACGGCUUGUAGAUUCCAACAAAAUCCAAUGUCUACAACGUUUCUUCAAGCCAAGUAAUAGUGGCACAAACAAGCAGUUAAUUCUAGAGUGCUUCGGUUAACCCCCACCCACCCCCCCGCUCCCCAAAAAAAAACAAAAAAAAAAUAUGUUUGAGUUAUUAUCAAGUAAGUAAAAACAAUAGGGUUCUACUAUCAACUAACAUAUUCCACAUCAACAUAAAUAAUAGGUUAAUUUUCUCCUCAACAACGUCACACGUUGAUUCAACAAACGGUCCUCAAUUGCGCUCUUCUCCAGCUUCGAAUAACUAGGAAUCAUUUGAGGCAUUGUGAUGUAAAAAUUCCAUCUAGGAUCUAAGCUCGUCUUAGAAAAAAUGAGGAAGAAUUCAUUUUCAUUUCAAGAAGACUCAAUUAGACAUUUUUAUAAUUUUUUGUAAGAUGAUUUGUGAACCUAGUGAGAGUUUUCAUAUCACAAACCUCAAUCAUUCCUAGGGGGCCAUGGUUGACAUCUGCUAGUCGAAGCUAGAGACGUAGGCAAUUGAUGAACAUUUGUUGAAUCAGCGUCAUAUGUUGCAUCAGAAAAAAUCGAUUGUUGGUGUUGCUGGAGAAUUAAUUAGUUUGUAUUAGAACUCUUCUAUCGAUUAUUAAAAUUUAUGUUCAUAAAUCACAUAUCCGAAGUAAAAUUUAAUCCUCUUCAUGAUAUUUUUUGUUUGACUAAAUACCCCUAAAAUUAGUGUAUUUAAUCAGAACCUCUCGAAUUAUUAGUAAUCCUUAUUACUCCUACGACUUUGGCUAUUUGAUAGUCUUGACCCCUACAUGUUCUCCUUCUUAGAAUAAUUAUUUGGAAGAGAAAAAUGAGAAUUUUGUUGAUUUUAUUUUUACAUGUUUCACCCAAAAAUGAGAAAUACAUUGUAGAAACGCAUAGUCAUUAGAUUUAUAUAAGAUACAAUAAGAGUUAUAACAUUUUUUUAAUAAAAAAUAAGGUUAGUUGGUCCAGUGCCAAGUCUUGCAAUAAAGUAAAUAACAUAGAAAGAAAAGACUAUGGUCUAUUUGGAAAACUCUUGUAACUGACCUUAUGUUUUGAUGCUUAUUUUUCUGUUUCUAGCUCUUUUUUUCUUUGUUCUUGAUUGAGCUUUUCUAAGUGUGUCUUGUUCGAUGGUGCUGGAGUGGAUGCGUCCAGAUCUGGUGAUUCUGAUGUGAAUCCGCUUAAGAUUCUGAUGGUUGUUGUGGAACGAGAGAAGACACCAAUCUUAAUUUAUUUAAUCAAAGAUUCUUUAUCCUAACUUCUUGGACCUGUGAUGUGAAUCCGCUUAAGAUUGGUGUCUUCCCUAGUUCCUUUGAUUCAACUUGUUGUUUUCUAUUUGAUUUAUUUGUACACUUGAUAUUCUUGUGUUGGUUGCACCUUAUUGAGUUGUAUUUUUCUUGUGGGGUUUCUUUUCUUUUGGCUUCUAUUUGGGGGACACUGGCAUUUACUAUUCUUUUGCAAAAACUUUUUAUUUCACCAACAUAAAGGAAGUUUAACAAAAUAUUUUUAACCGAGUUGGACCGAAAGAACAUCACAUAUCAUAUUAAAAUAGUACUUAUUAAGAAAAUAUCAUAUAGCUGAUUUUAUAUAUGAUUUCAACAAGUUCAGAAUGUGUUUUAUGAUUGAUUGUCAUUAUUGGUUUGUGUUCAUGAGGUUUCAAACGAGUUCGGAGGGUCUGUUUUGAGAAUUUGGAUGUAUUCUAUAUUGCUGGUGUCUGGUGCAGGCCAGUUUCUUCUUUGCAUUUGCAGAUAAGGAAUAUAUCUGGCCUUACCAUUUGUGAGAGAUCCAUCAUAUUCGCAAAGAAGGUCCUAUUGCGUCCAAGUUGCAUUUGGAGUCACAUUCGUGAUGAGUAGGUCGGGUCAGGUGGCUGCAUUCGCAGGUGAGCUCCAUUAUUUCAAAGAGUAACAUGACCUGGACAUAUAUAUAUAUAUAUAUAUUCUAAUUUUGAAUAUGGACUUUGACAUGACAGGUUUUUUAUUUUAAAAAAGUCGUCACUUAAUUUGUGAAAAAAAAUUUAAUUAAUAAACUUUUUUAUCGAAAAAAUGUAACAGAAUAUUCUUUACUAAAAUAUUUGAGUAAGGGUUCUAAUAAUACCUUUAAGAAGGUUUUAAGCAAUUAAAUAAUGUUCACAAACACGUUGUUACCUGGUUUUUAACUAACACAUAUUUGACUAACUUAAGAGAAUAAUUCAUUUAAAAGAAAAUUAUUUUUUUAUAAAAGAAAACUGAAUAACUUAAGCCAAUUUUAAUUAUUCAAAUAUAGUGAGGUUUGACCGAGGUUCAUUGUUUAUUUGGAAAAAAAUUAGACUAACCAUAUCAGAAUAUCAAAAAUAUCUUUUUAUAAUUAAUAUUACGACAAAUUCCGAAAUCGGGUUAUGAUGAUGCCUACCAUAAACCCCGCAGUAGGCAAGUCAAAAUCGAAAAUGGUAAGCGAUAAUAUAAUUAAACAAAACUACGCGGAAGUAAUAGAAAUAUAAGAGUGGGGCCGUUGUAUAGAUAUCUAUCUAUAUAUAAUACGAGAAGUAAAAAGUGACGUAUGUCAGCACCACAAAAGUUCAAUAAUUUUAAAAUUUUAAAAAAUAUUUAAUUUUUAACAAAAAUCUAUAUCCAAAAUUAACCAGAAAGAAAAAAAUAGUGUCACGAUCCAAAGUACACCAUAGAAGUGACAUGGCGUAUUGGACCACGAGAGGCCUUACACAAGUCACUUAGCAUGCAUCAUACAAGAUAAAAGAAUUUAAAGAAUUAAAAAGACAGCUUAAUAUAAUAACAGUUUGACAAAUAGUAGAGAAAGUCUAACAUAAGUCUCAACUCAACUAUUACAUCAAAAGAGUGAUUGGGACGUAACCCAUACAUCACAUACAACAUCCGAAAUAAAAGACAUAAAGAAACAAAGAGUCUCGAUCCUCAGAACAUGUGGACUCACAAAUCGUCAAAAGCUACAAAUGUAUCAACUAGCCAACAAUAUGCGGAAUAGGAGCGUCAAACCCUACAUUUGGGGAAAACAAUGUAGGCAAGAGUAUGUGUUAGUACAUAAAAUGUACCAAGUAUGAUAGCAAUGCAUAAGAGUUAUGAAAUCAUGUUAAAAGGGCGACAUGACAUGCAAUGACGAGCUAAUCCAUAAGAUAAAAGGUUAGAAAACAUAAUCGUGAUUGUUGACACCCAAUUUUGGCUCUCCACAUUUAACUAUAGUAAUAAUUAUAAUAAUAAUAAUAAAAUAUAUAUGUUAUGAAAUUAUUUUUUUGUAGGAAUACAAAAAAAAUAAUUUAAUCAUUUAUUUGACUUGAUAAAUUUAUUUCUUAAAUGUUAUUUCUUAUAAAAAAUUAAAUAUAUUAUAUUACUACUUACUUUCUCAUUUUUUUUUUAUAAAUGUUGUUCUUCUUAAAAAUUGAAUUUAUUUUGGUUCAAAUAUAAUUCCUUUUGUCGCAAUAGAUAUUUUUCGUACAUUUAUUAAAAUUAUAAAGCUUAGUUAAUUGAUGAUUUACUAAUUUGUAUUAAUUUAAUUUUAAGAGUGAUUAAUUUUAUCAAAUAAGCUAUCUUGCAAAAUAAUUAUCACUUAUGGCUAUUUAAUAAAGAAAGUAGUUAUAAUUUAAACGAAUUCAAUUUGAGCAAAUUUGGCAAUCCAAGUCUUAUUAAAACAGCCAAUCCGUGUAUGCCACGUAGGCGAGCACAUGGAUUGUGCUUCUUUAGAUUCGAUCUCAGCCUUACAAUCUAAUCUAACGGCUUUAAUUAAUUCAUCUUUUUACUAUAUAUAUAUAUAUAUGUUAUUUAUUUUUAAACUCUCUAUUUUUACCAACCGUCCGAUCAAAUGAUCGGACGGCCCAAAUUAAAUCCCAAGUUUUUCAUUUUUUCCCAAAAUAAGUACAACUCCUAUGCCUGUCGAACUUUUUCCCUUUCCCAGGAACGUUUUCCUUCUUCCCCAGGCCCCUUUCACGCUCAUCUCACUCCUCUGCCAGUGUUUCCGCAUACAGACCACCGGAAAAUGGCAAUUUCCGGUGGUCAUCAGUAUAUCUCCCCACGCCGUCCAUCAAUCAUAUCCUUCUCAUGUCAACUUUACAUCCCUUCCAUCAUCUUUUAUGAACCAAAACAGACCUCAAAAGCCUUACCACCGGCACUGCUACGCCUGAAAAAGGCGAAAGGCAUGAAGAACCAUCAGAUUUGGGGCUGGUCGUCCUUUUAAUCUGAUGGGUGUAAGGUUCCAUCACUUAUUUUUUGAACAUAGUAGAGGCCCCAAAUCGGCUAUAAAGGAGAAAAAACGGAUCCAAGAGUGGGGGAGAAUCAUCCAGGAAACUCAAAGAAAUAUCCAAAAGAGCAAAUAUUGUAACACACUUCAAGUUUUUUUAGAGUUCGAAAUUCUCUUCCUUUUCUGUUCCUUCGAUUUUUUUUUCUGAAUUAGAGUUUGAGAAAGUUCGAGUUUAAAGUCGGAAUUCUUGACGUCAAAACUUUAGUUUGCUGCUCUACACAAGGUUCGUAAUCCCCUUAUUUCCUUUAGUUUUCAUGAAGCAAUUAUAGUUGUUUAAAUGUACCCAUCUUUGAUUUGGUUUGGUUUUUUUUAUUUUAUUUUUAUACCUUUUUUGUGUUUCCAGAAUCUUGCCUCGGUUCAGUUUGAUUUGAAAAUUAGUCUGUGAAUAGUUUGUAAAAUGUUGUGAUACCUGUAUCUUGUUAAAAUUCAGAUUUCAAAGAAAAAAAAAAGAAAGGGAGAUGACUAAGGGUCUUGUCUUCAACACAAUAUUUUGUUAACAAAUCAUUGCCCAAAGUUGUUAAUAUGAACUAUUGGAUUUUUGAGAAGGCUAUAUGAGGUGUUAAAUGAAACUAAACAGAUUUGGACAUAACCAUCCCCCUUUCGUUUGAGCCUAACUAGGCUGGUGAUUGAUCUACUCGUUUUUGAAGUGUUAUGAUGCUAACCUGUUGUUAAAAUUCUUAAACCAGGACUUUCGAUGAUCUGCUUAGCUUUAUUCUCUCGUCAAAAUUUUUUUUAAAAAAAGUAUUCUUGCAACGUUAUCAGAUUAAUUUGCCAUAUGACCAGAUGUCCUUAUUUUCCUAUUAAAGCAUGGUGUGAUUAAGGAUACCAAUACCCUUAUGUUAAAAUCAUGUGGGAGAGCAAAUAACUUGGUUACCUACCUUAUUUUACAUGAUUUAACUAAGUGUCGAGCUUUGUUAGGAAAGCGUUAUCAUGUCUAACUUGAAUCCCUGUUACGUCCCAUCUGCUCGCACUAACAAUUCAGGCGUCUUGUUUAUAGGAUCUCAUUAAGUUUAAAAUGACUAUGCUAUUUUGAGUGGUUAAGCAUGUUUGAUAUUUUGAAGUCCUGUUAGCAUAAACUUUGUCCUUUGUUAAAGUUCUCUGUUAAGAGACCAAUGCGAAGUCCGCUCCUCUCUCUGUUUAACUUCCGUCGUUGAUGUUUAAUAUGUGAAAUUCUUUCUUUUCUGUCUUGGCUUUGUAAUGCAUAUCUACUAAGCAUUAUCAUAACUCAUACAAACCAAUUGGAUUAACUCUUACUCUAGGAUAAUCGAUUUUGAUCUAUUUUUCUCCUCAUGUUUCAUAUUUUCUGAGAAUAUUUUCCUUCUGCUUCAUAAAUGUUGUUAGUCAGGUUGUUAUUCGCCAUGUCUAAACAUCCAUAGCUCUUCCUUGUUUCUGCUUUAUGCCUAUUUUGGGUGAUUAACUCGGCUAAACUUGCACUUUACUCUUUUGUCACAACGUGUGUGAUUAUAAAAUUCAAGCAUAUGAAAUAGUUGAUAUGGAUCAGGAUCCUCGUUCAUGUCAGUCACAAUAUGUUUGUGUGUGUGUUUAAAUGCCAUAUAUGGGUAGGAGGACAUCAUUCUGUCCUAAAUAUGAGACAAAUUUACCUCGAUUACCUAAUGGAUAUUCUGGUGUUUGUUUGAAAUUUUUUGAAGCCUAAAGAGCAAUAUUUGUUUGCUGAAAAAUCUGCCUACAAGCAGAUCUUUGAAUCCCCUCUUUUUAUACCCAAAAAUAACAGAAUGCCUUGAAAUCUUAUAGCAUUAUGAACUAGUAAGGGAUGACUGUUAGUUUAUCAUUGAAUUCUUUAUGUAUUAACAAGGAUUAAAGCUUUAAAAUCUUGUAUCGUAUAUCCUUAAGUCCCUUUGAUCAAAGAUACAACUAUAAGAGAACGAAAUGCUAAAUGAACCUUGAUACAUUAAUACUAGGCUGCUGCACGUAUCUGUUGAUACACGACUGUUUCGUUUAUCUUAUAAAUUAGAUAGAUGAAGUUUAUUUUAGCCAUACUUAAUAAUCGGUGAAGUAGUUAUAGUAUCCUCUCUUUAUUUUGUAUAAACCAUGUAAAUAUUUGUUGUGCCAUUCUUCAGAGAUCAUUUGUGUUUACCCCUUUCUGUUAGCCUCAAAAGGAUGUGUAUAUAUCUAUUCUUAUGCUCCAACAUGCAAUUGCAGACAUACUUAAAGAUCAGUUCAUGGUGUAAAAAAAAUAAAAUGAAUUCAACAUUUAUAUACUCCAAAUUUAACUUAUACGAGUAUAAGAGAAAAAAAAAUGUUAAUCUGUAAAAAAUUUGCCUCUAGGCACGUGAAAUAUUUGUCUCAUCAUUCAUUUAUUGCUUACUUGUAUUUGAUGUUGUUGCUAAACUUUAUGACUUAUGUUUAUUACUACUUUGCUGACAUGAUUAUGGUUAUUCCUAAUCACUUCUUAUUCUCUUCUUAUGUUUUUCUAAUUUGUUUCUUUUUAUCUUCUUAUAUUUCAUGUACAACCGGAGAGCUGGAGUUUCUACUUUGGAACUCGUUUUGGCCUAAAAUAUUAGGCCAGCAGCAAUUAGGAUCACCGCAAUGCUUGGCGUCUCAUAAAUAGGAGUCUAAUGUUCCUCAGCCUUUCUUUUGUUGCCUUAUGUUUCUUUUAUGUUGGCUAACUUUACUCUUAAGUUUCGUCGUCCUACUUAUAUUGUUUUUGAUAUGUUAGCUAACAUUUACUCUUAGGUUUUGAUACAUUGCUUGUCUUCUUUUAUUUUUGAAGAUUAUUCAUGUGAGCCAAUAUUUGUUUGCUUGUGAGUUUAGUUGAAACAUUUUUUAGGAAAGGGGUUAGCAUUUUUACCUAUAAUACUCUUUUUUAUGUUUUUUUAUUAGUUGAGGAAAGGGGCUUAUAGUUUAAGAAUUUUCCAAACAAAGUUUCAAAGGUUAAAAUAAUACUAGUGUUUCAAAAUUGGGAAAAAGAAGUAUAUAUCGGCUUAGGCACUUAAGGAAUAGGAAAACUUUUUGUCUAAAACCCUCUUUGAAAUUUUAAAAGGGUGAAAUAAUUUUCAUUUAGGUAUCUAAGUAGGAAAAAANNNNNNNNNNNNNNNNNNNNNNNNNNNNNNNNNNNNNNNNNNNNNNNNNNNNNNNNNNNNNNNNNNNNNNNNNNNNNNNNNNNNNNNNNNNNNNNNNNNNNNNNNNNNNNNNNNNNNNNNNNNNNNNNNNNNNNNNNNNNNNNNNNNNNNNNNNNNNNNNNNNNNNNNNNNNNNNNNNNNNNNNNNNNNNNNNNNNNNNNNNNNNNNNNNNNNNNNNNNNNNNNNNNNNNNNNNNNNNNNNNNNNNNNNNNNNNNNNNNNNNNNNNNNNNNNNNNNNNNNNNNNNNNNNNNNNNNNNNNNNNNNNNNNNNNNNNNNNGUUAAGAUAUUUCAUUUAGACAUACAUAUUUUUAAAACAAGUAGGGAAGUAGGCCCUUGUAUUUUAUUAGCAAAAAAAAUUGAAAAAAUGUAAAUUGUAGAAUAAGUCUCAAUAGUUAGGUCUAUUUUUAUACUCUUUACAUCACCCCUUACAAAAUGUAUUGACUAGUCUUAUUUUUUUUGGAUCAAAUAUUGCUAAAACAUUUCAAUCUUUUAACAUGCCAUUUCAAAAUUUUUAGAUAUGCCAACAUGUUCAAAUACAAGGUACAUACGUAUAUGUGUCAUACAUAUAAAGGUAUAUUCUAUAUUUUCUCCACAUAACCUAGUUUUAUUUACUAUUCUCUUUUACUAAUGUUAUUUAUUUAUUUUUAUAAUUUAUAAAUGCCUACACUUAAAUAUACAUAUUACUUUACUACAUAUAAUAUAUCGUCAUUUGUCUAUACAUGAAAAUAAAUAAUAAGUGUUCAUAUGUUCUAAACAACUUACAUAUAUAUACUAUACUUUAUAAUAAACAUACUUAAGAUCACAAACCUUUAUAUAAUAUUUUAAUAUUUUAACAUCUAGUAUCAUUUAUUUUAUUUUAUAUUUUAGAAAACUCCAUUCUAUAUAUUUUCAUUCAAAUUACACGUCACAUGUUACUACAUAUUAUCUUAUUUUUACUUCUUAAUAAGACGAUAGAUUUUCGCAAAUUCAACAUCUAUAUAUUUUUAAGAUAAUUUUAUUAUGAUACACCUACCUAUAUAUAUUUUACAUAUGAAUAUAUCGUAUAUUUAAGUACAUUUAUUUAUUUAUUUUACAAUACUAUUAUUAAAUUUAUUUUAUAAUACAUAUAUAUGUUGUACCUUGUAUUUUACUUUUUCUUAAAAUAAUAAAAUUUACUUACCAUUGAUUUUUAAAGCAAAUAAAUAAACAAGUUUUCCUAAUCACAUUUUCCCUAAAUUGAAUUUAAGGACUAUCUUUGGAUAGGCUUUAAGGGGUGCUUAACACCUUCCCCUCGAGUAACCAAAACUCUUACUCAGAAUCUCACUGGUUUCGCAAAAAUCAAAACAGAGUUUACAUUUACAUAUAAAAAAUGGUUUUCCUAAUAUUUUCCUUAAAAUUUAGGUGGCGACUCUAAAACGAAACAAAACAAUUUUCAAAAAAACAGAGUGACAACCACAUUAUGUUGUGAACUGUUUCGGCCUGGUUUGAAAUAGGGUGCGACAGCGAUCAGGGUCAAUGUAAGUUAAAUCAUCUUUAAAACACAUGUGAGAUACUUCUAGAAGUAACCUUAGUUCAUAAUUGUGGGAAGUCGCCAUUAACCGAUAUAUAGACCAUGUGAGCUAUAACGUGGAGUCCGGUGUCUAUUUCACACCAAAAAGAGAUGUCCUUACUUGUCAAGGUAAGAACCAUAAACUUUUAGCUUUAAUGGAUCAGCUAGCUAAUGUCUAUUAAGACAAACCUACAAUGGCACAUAGUUAUGGGACAUGGGUAAUCACCACUUGUCCACUUGGUGCUAAGCAUAAAUCCCACGGAAAAGUCAUUAGUCUUAACUUGUCUUACCAUUAAGGGAUAUGGGUAAUUGUCGCUUGUCUUAUCAUCCAUGGAAGGCACAUCAAGUAGCCAAUCCAAGCUAGAAUUUAUUAGAAUAGCUCCUUAAACUAGAUUCAUCUUAGGUGAGAAAGCAUUUCAACCUUAUAAAUACUUUAUGUGAUAAAAUCCUUUCACAAUCAUGUUUGAGUAGUAUGUGUGAAAUCCUUUCACAAUAACUACAACAACAACAACAACAACAUUGAUGCUUUACUCUCAAAGCAACCUAAAAUCAUUUACAUCAAUUUCAUAAAGAAACAUGCAUAUCGCCAAAAAUUCAUCUUUCAUAGUUCAAAAUCCACUUCACAUCAUCAUAGUAUAGAAAUCAUGGGUCAUGCAUGGAUUCAUGGGGGAUUCAACUGAAAGACAUGCAAUUACUUCAAUUCAUGCAGAAAAAGGCAUAAAAUAAUCAAUUGAAUUAACAUUGAAAGGAAUCCAUGACAAUUAAAUAAAACCCUAAUUUCAUUAGGGAAUCUAGCAUUACAAAAUUGGGGAUUUUAGGAAUCCUGUGGAGGAAAGAGCUCCAUAGGUGAAUACUACCAUACCUUAGAUUUCAAAGCCAAAAAGCUAUGGUGGGAAUUGAGACUUGAAUGGAACACUAGCUCUUCUUCUUCUUCUUCCUUAGAGAGAAAAAUAUUUUGGGGAAGAACUUUGAUCAACUUUGAGAAAUUAGGAGAAUGAGCUCGAUUGGGUAAUUUGGGGGUAAAAAUGUUUAUAUAGGGCUUAGGGUAGCAGACAAAACGACAUAAUAUUGUGUUAAAACGAUUAGGAAAAAGACUCAAAAUCCCUUAAAAAUAACUGUCGGACCUUCACUAAUGGUUGGACUUACGGUCUAUAGGCCCAACUACGGACUUUUUUGUCCUAUCGUUGGUGGGGUUCUGGGACUAUACUUUGGGACCCCCAAUAACGAUUGCUAUGCAUGGUCCGUUGAUCCACUUACAGACCGAACAUUCCAGCCAUAGGUCCCAACUUUGACCCUGAAAAUUUAACCAAGUCUGGGACUCACCUACGAUACCUACCUAUGACUCGUAUAUUAAACGACCGAUCAUCCUGGUGAACCGUAAAAGGAGUACUAGGACUUGACAUUCUAAAAUUAUUUAGCUUGCCACAUACGGUUCCCACCUAUAACCCAUAAGUAAACCUAUGAUCCAUCGGUUGUUCCGUCGGUGUAGAUACCAGUUCUAAAAAACCUACAUUUUUCCCUUUUUCAAAUUCGAAGUGUUACAAUAUCUUCUCCUUGGGAAUAUUUGUCCUUGAAUGGAACUAAAAACAUCGUAAUGAGAUUAGGAACUAGAUCUAACAACCCAACAUGAAUGCAAAUCACAUAAAUGCAUAUAUCUGAGGAGGAAACAUCAACUCCAACCUAAAGCAUGUUCAAAACAUCAUUUCAUGAGGUCUAUAUGCAACUUAUACUUAAAUGCACAUAAACAUGAAGAAAUCAAUCAAGCUAAUCAUUUUCUCAUAAUUUAAGAUUUUCAUGAACAUGCAUGAAUGAGGAAUCAUGGGAAUAUCUAAGACGCAAGAAACCAAAAGAGUAAACCAUGAGGAACUGAAUUCCUCAAGCUAGAUUCGAAAAGGAGGAAAAAAUAUGAGGAUAACAUGAUAUCAUAUCGGCCUCGGCCUACCAAGUAGAACCCUCAACUAAUUGAUUCCUCCAAAGAACCUUUACGGAAGCAAUUUUUCUAUUUCUCAACUUUCGAACUUGCCGAUCUAAAAUCUCAACCGGAACUUCUUCAUAAGAAAGAUUAUCCUUUAUAUCAAGAAUAUCAAAUGUUACUACAGAUGUCGGAUCACCAACACAUUUCUUCAACAAGGAGACAUGAAAAACCAGAAGCACCGAUACCACAUUAUUAGGUAAAUCAAGUUCAUAAGCAACUUUACCAAUACGCCUCAAAAUCUAAUUUGAGCCCACAUAACGGGGACUAGAUUUCCAUUUCUUUCCAAAUCUCAUUUCAACUUUCAUGGAUGAAAUCUUCAUAAUGCUCAUAGGUAUAACCAAGAGAGGGUGUCUAACCCUAAGCCUAAAAGAGGGAGUAAUAGUGAAUCUUUGUUGCUUAAGCCUACUUGCACUAAGUGUGGAAGUAAGCACUAUGGUAGGUGCGUAGCCGACAUGGAUGGUUGUUAUGGUUGUGGUAAUAGUUGUCACAAGAUAAGGGAUUGCCCAAUACUUAGGCUAAGGGAAGAGAGGAUAAGAAAGCUCCUCCUAGUGGGUCGGGUGCAAAUACUCAAAGGCAAAAUAGGUUCUAUGCGCUCCGGCUAGAGGUGAACAAAAGUGUCCUCUAGAUGUGAUCAUCGGUACGUUGUUUAUGCUUUAUUAGAUUCUGGUGUAGCUUGAUCUUUUGUGACUUGAUGUAUUUGAUGUGCUAGGCUUUGAUGUUAUUCUUGGUAUGAGUUGGCUGCAUUCUUGUUAUGUUUCUAUUGAUUGUAGAACUGGAGUAGUCACAAUUCAGUUCCCAAAUGAGCCUAUCCUAGAAUGGAAGGGGAAAGUUCUAUGCCUAGAGGUUAGUUGUUCCUUAUAAGAAGGUUAGAAGGAUGAUUGCUAAAGGUUGUUUUUACCACCUAGUUAUGGUGAGAGAAUACAUUUUGUGUGUUGACCAACUUCAAGGGGCGAGUUAUUUCUCUAAGAUUUAUAUUCGAUCGGGUUAUCAACAACUUUGGGUGAGAGGGGAUGAUAUUUCAAAGAACGGUUUUUUGAACCCGGUAUGGUUAUUACAAGUUUUAGUUACGUCGUUGGGUUGACCAAUGCUCGGCGGCGUUUAUGGACUUGAUGAAUAGAGUGUUUAGGCAAUACCUAGACAUGUUUGUGAUUGUGUUUAUUGAUGAUAUUUUGAUCUAUUCAAGGAGUGAGAAUGAACAUGUUGACCAUUUGAUAAUUGUGUUGCAAGUUCUUAAGGACCAACAACUUUAUGCAAAGAUUAGUAAGAUUGAAUUUUGGUUAAGCUCCGCAGCUUUCCUUGGUCAUAUUGUGUCAAGCAAAAGAAUUGAGCAAGAUCCUAAGAGGAUGGAUGGUUUUGUGCUUUAUUACGAUACCUCUAGAGUUGGGUUGGGAGAUGUGCUUAUGCAAAAUGGUAAGGUAAUUACAUAUUCUUUAAGGCAACUUAAUGUCCAUGAGAAGAAUUGUCCUACACAUGAUCUUGAGUUGGAGGCGAUUGUUUUUGCUUUAAAGAAAUGGAGACAUUAUUUAUAUGGAAUACAAGUAGAAGUGUUUACCGAUCACAAGAGCUUGCAAUAAGUGUUUAGUCAAAAGGAUUUGAAUCUUAGCCAAGGGAAGUGGCUAGAGUUAUUGAGAGAUCUUGACAUGAGUGUUCUUUAUCACCCCAAUUGAGGUAAUGGGGUAGCGAAUUCUCUUGGUCAAUUUUCUAUGGGUAGUAUGGCUAUUAUAAGUGAAGAUAGGAAAAAAAAUGGUUCGAAAUGUUCAUAGGUUGGCCCGAGUAGGUGUUCGAUUAGUGGACUCCACCAAGGGUGGUGUUUGGUUCACAAUGGGUCUGAAUCCUAUUAUGUGAUGAGUGUGAAAUCUAAGAAAGAGCUUGAUCUGAUUUUGGUUAACUUGAAAGAAGUGGUACUUAAGAAAUUAGUAGAGGCUUCCUCCCAAGGGGGAGAUGGUCUGCUUAGAUAGCAAGGUCGUUAGAGUGUUCCUAGUGUUCAUGACUUGGGUUUAAUUUAAAUUCUCACCCAUGAAGGGUGUAAUGAGGUUUUAGAAGUAAGGGAAGCUUAGUCCCCGCUUUGUAGACCCAUAUGAGACCUUGAGACGUGUUGCUAAGGUUGAUUUUGAACUUCAAUUGCCUAAUGAGUUGACAUCGAUGUACCCGAAUUUCCAUGUCUCUAUGCUUGAGAAAUGUGAUGGAGAUCUGGCAUCCUUAGUGUCCCUAGAAGGGUUGAGAGUUAAUGGAAGUCUUCCUUAUGAGGAAGUUUCAGUUGAGAUUUUAGACCAACAAGUUAAGAAGUUGGGAACUAUAGAGUUUGCUUCCGUAAAAGUGUAGUGGAGGAAUCUUUUAGUUGAGGGUGCUACUUGGGAGACCAAGGCCUAUAUGAUGUCCCGUUAUCCUCAUUUCUUUCCUUCUACUCCUAUUCUAGCUUUAGAUGAUGAGUUCCUUUUUGAGUUUUCCUUGUUUUGGGAGUCAUGUGUGUUAUAUGAGUUUUCCAUGAUUUCCCUAUGUUAUGCAUUUUCAUGAAAAACUUAUGUUUAGAAAGAAAAUGAGUUUAUAUGAAUGAUUUUCCUCAUGUUGUUGUGCAUUGAGUAUGAGUUGCCUAUAUGUCUCAUGAGAUAAAUUGAUGAUCAUGCUUUAUAUAUAUAUAUGUGUGUGUGUAUGCUUUUUGGAGAGUAAAUUGCAUAAAGGCUCAAUAAGAUUGUGUUGAACAUGCUUUUAGUUUGGAGAAAGUAAUUUCUCCUAAGAACAUGAGAAAUGUUAAAAUUUCAUGCAUAAUGGGUUGAUAGAUGUAGUUCCUACUUCCUUGUGUUGCAUUUGAGUAUGUUUAGUUUGGAUUUGAUGUUUCCUCCUUGUUUAUGUGCAUUGCAUGCAUAGUGGAUUGAUAGAAUUAGUUCACCCCUCUUGUGAUGUUUUGAGAGUGUCCUAAGUUGGAGUCGAUAGUUCCUCCUCGGUUGUAUGCAUUGCAUUGAUUAGGUUGGGUUGUUAGUUUCUCUCCUACUCUUUUAGAACUAGUUUAAAUCUCAUUCGAGGAUGAAUGUUCCCAAGGGGGAGAUAUUGUAAUGCACCGUAUCCGAAAAAGGGAGCUUAGAAAAUUUUCAAGACUUCCAGGUGUCACCCAAGAGGGACAACCAUGACACUUGGUUGAAUACACACCCCGUAGGUGGGCCUCGCAGAUGAGCACCUUGAAAAUUUGCCUAAGGUAGUAACCACGGCCAGGACCCACGCCCCGUGGAUGGGUCCACGACCCGUGGUUGGGAUCCAUAGGUCCAUGGCUCAAGUUCCAAAUUCUCUAAACUCAGACAACGUUUGACCAAGAUGGACCGUAGGUCCAUCCACGGCCCGUCAACGUGGUCUAGUGGGUCGGUCUGGCCGGUUAAGCUUAGGGGCACUUUGGGAUUUUCUGGUUGAAGUUUGAUUAAAGUGAGGUUGUUUUGCCUAAGUCUAGGGUCCUUAAAUAAGUCAUCUUAACUCUUAAACUCACCCAAUUAAGUCAUAUUUUCCAAAACCCAAAUCAAUUCCCUAAAGGUCACCCUCUCAAAAUAUUCUCUCUCUAGAACCUUGAAGAAGAAGAAGAAGGAGAUUUGAGCUAGGGUUUGAAGAGCAAGAUUUUACACAUAAAUUUCUUUGGGCUUUAUAAUUAAGUUAAGGUAGUUUUCAUCCAUGGGUAGAUUUCAUCCAUGGAGUUCUCUCAAAAUCUUCAAUUUCAAAAGAUAGAAAUCCCAAAAAGUUAGGGUUUGAUUCCAAAGUCUUGGGUUCCUUUCAAACUUGAUUUUAAUGGUUGAAUUGAGUUAUAUUAAGCAUGAAUUGACGAUUUCCUAUGAGUUUUAUGAUGUAUCCCCAAGAACACAUGAAAUCCCCAUAAUUCUCAAAGUUGAUGAUAUGAUGUGGGUCUUUGUUGAUGAAAGAGAAAUUUUAUAAAUUAAUGCAUGAGGUGAUAGAAUCACAUGAAUUAUAUAGAUAUCCAUGUCUAAUACUUAAGUUAUAGAUAUGUUGAUUGAAAGUGACUUUUGAACCUCAAGAGUUAAAGUAUGAGAUUAUGCAUUUUCUAUGAAGUCUUUAUGAUUGUCUUAAUGAUGCUUUGAGAGUAUAGUAUCAAUGAUUAUGUUGUUGUUGUGGGAUGAUAGAAAGGUUAUUCUCAUGAAUUCAUAAUGAAUUUGAUGUGAAAGGUUUUCUAACUUAAUGAAGGUUCUAAGGUUGAAAGGUUUUUCUCACCUAACUGAAUCUAAGAGUAAAAGUGAUCAUGGAUGGUGAUAGUUGCUCAUACAUGGUUUAAAGAGUUAAAGCAAUGAUAUACCUUGAAUCGGUAGGCCAAUGGCACUCUUUCAAGAGCUAUUCUAAUGAUCUAACUUGCAUCGGUAGGCCAAUGGAACUCUUUCAUGAAUAAUUAAAGAGUUAUCCUAAUGAUUUAACUUGAAUCGGUAGGCCAAGGGCACCCUUUCAUGAGUAAUGAUGUUGAUAAAGAAUUAACUAGUCCGUGGGAAUUUAAUUUUUUGCACCGAGUGGAUAUUGUAUAAGAUGGAAGCUCUCACGUAGUAAGGCCGGGUUUCUAGAAGCAAUCUCUUGAGUUGGAAGCUCUCCCGUAGAUAGGCUGGGUUUCUAGUAACAAUCUCCUUAUCCCAUAAACUACAUGCCCCCGUAGGAUAUUUAGCUAGUGGAUCCACCUAAGAUAAAAUUACCGGUUCUAUCUUAGGCAAGUAGACCAACCCUUUUCGGAGUGGGAGUCACCGGAUUCCAUGUUAAAGCUCACAUGGUCUCAUGUUGGUUAAGGCUUAUUUCCCACAAUAACAAGAAGUUUUAUAAUGAACUAAGGCAUGCUUGAAGAAGUAUCCUGUAAGUGUUCAAGGUAUUAAAGGUGAUGCUAGUUGCCUUGAAGAUGAUUUUUUGACUUAUGUUUUCCAAACUAUAUCUAUAUGAUGUUUAAACUUGGUAAAGUGCAUGUUUUUAAAUGAAAUGGCCCUUUUUGCAUGUUUCAAGUGUUUUCAUGCAUGGCUACCAUACUUAGUGCAUUUUUGUACUUACGCAUACUUUUGCCUACAUUUUUCCCAAGUGUAGAGUCCGGCAGUAGAGGUGAUCAUACUUGUGGGUAGAGCUUGGAUUUUUUGUUUCUCAACUUUCGAACUUGCUGAUCUGAAAUCUCAACCAGAACUUCUUCAUAAGAAAGAUUAUCCUUUAUACCAAGAAUCUCGAAUGUGACUAUAGAUGUUGGAUCACCAACACAUUUCUUCAACAAGGACACAUGGAAAACCGUAAGCACCAAUUGCAAGUUAUUAGGUAAAUCAAGUUCAUAAGCAAGUUUACCAAUACGCCUCAAAAUCUGAUAUGAUCCCACAUAACGGGGACUAAGUUUCCAUUUCUUUCCACAUCUCAUUAAAACCUUCAUGGAUGAAAUCUUCAAAUAGACACAAUCAUCUACAUCAAACUCAAGAUCUCUCUUUCUAACAUCAGCAUAGGACUUUUGUCAACUUUGAGCUAUUUUCAACCUUUCUCUAAUAAGCCAAACUUUAUCCAUAGCCUCGUGUAUACUUUCGGGGGCCUAUCAAAGCAAAUUCACCCACUUCAAACCAACCUAUAGGACUUCUACACCUCCUACCAUAUAGAGCCUCAAAUAGAGCCGUACCAUGCUUGACUGAUAGCUAUUAUUGUACGCAAAUUCAAUCAAAGGCAAAUGAUCAUCCCAAUUACCCUUUAAGUCAAUUACAUAAGCUCUCAACAUAUCUUCCAAAGUUUGGAUAGUAUGCUCCACUUUCCCAUCGGUUUGUGGAUAAAAGGUUGUACUAAGCUUAACACGAGUACCAAGCCCCUUUUGGAAAGAUUUCCAAAACUGAGAAGUGAAUUGGGUACCACGAUCGAAGAUAAUGGAUAAAGGCACUGAACCACUCUCUCAAGUACAACUUAGCAUAGUCCUCUUCAGAAUAAGAAACCUUGACGUGAAUGAAAUGAGCUGAUUUUGUUAUUCGAUCCACAAUAACCCAAAUCGAGUAAUGUUGUCACCGUGUAUGGGAUAACCCAACAAGGAAGUCCAUAUUAGCAUCUUCCAACUUCCAAGUAAGAAUAUUGAUAUCUUGGGGACAAACCUCCCAGCUUUUGAUGUUCAACUUACACUUGUUGACCAUUAGGACACUUAGCCACAAAUUCUGUGACAUUCUUCUUCAUCCCAUUCCACCUAUAGACCUCCCGCAAGUCAUGGUACAUCUUGGUGGCUCCUGGGUGAAUGGAGUAUCGAGAACUAUAAGGUUUUGAUAAGAUUUUCUCUCUGAAGUCAUCUGCAUUGGGAACACACAAACAACCUUGAUAUCUAAGCCCGCCAUCUCUCUUUUGGGAGAACGCCUCAACUUACUUCUUGAGCACCGCUUCUCUGAACUCAAUAAAGAUCGGGUUAAGGCCUUGCAUGGAUUUCACUUCUGACACAAAAUACAAUUCGAAACCAUUGUAAACCAUAACACCACCUUUGGUGGAAUCAACUAAUCGAACACCCAAAUGGGACAAUCUAUCAAUACCUUGAACCAAUGCCUUCCUACCAUCCUCAAUAAAAGCAACACUACCCAUUGAUAACUGUCUAAGAGCAUCCACCACCACAUUUGUCUUGCCGGGGUGAUAGAGAACAAUUAUGUCAUAAUUCUUUAGUAAGUCAAUCCCCCUUCUUUUGGAAAAAAAUUAGAUCCUUCUAUUUGAACACAUAUUGCAAACUUAAGUGGUUGGUAAAGACAUCAACAUGAACACUGUAUAAGUAAUGCCUCCAAAUCUUUAAAGAAAAUACAACUGCCGCUAGUUCUAAGUCAUGGGUAGGAUAGUUCUUUUUAUGCACCUUAAUUUGCCUUGAAGCAUAGGCAAUGAAUUUUCCAUUUUGCAUGAGGAAACAUCCUAACCCAAUUCUCGAAGCAUCACAAUAAACCACAAACCCAUGAGUUCCUUCCAGUAAAGUCAAUAUCAGUGCGGAAGUGAGUCUAUCUUUCAAUUCAUGAAAAGUCUUUUUAGAAGCUUCAGACCAGAAGAAUUUGACUUUCUUUUGGGUCAAUUCUAUCAAUGGAGAGGCAAUCAACAAAAUCACUUUCAUGAACCUUCUAUAGUAACUGGCUAAACCCAAGAAACUUCGAAUAUACGAAGAGGAUAGAGGUGUAGGCCAACUCUUGACCAUAUCCGUGUUUUUAGGAUCUACCUCAAUACCCUUUAUGGAACAUUGUGACCAAGAAAAGACACAAAUCUUAACCAAAACUUACACUUACUAAACUUUGAAAAGAGUUGUUGGUCCUUGAAGACUUGCAACACAAUCCUCAAAUGAUCGGUAUGCUCAUCUUCACUCUUUGAGUGAGUCAAAAUAUCAUCGAUAAACACGAUCACGAACAUAUCAAGGUAUUGUUUAAACACCCAAUUUAUCAAAUUCCGGAGCAUUAGUAAAGCCAAAGAACAUCACCAAAAACUUGUAAUGACCAUAUCAAGUUCCGAAAGCCAUUUUCAGAAUGUUAUCUUCUUUCACCCUCAAUGGUGAUAACCCGACCGGAGGUCAAUCUUAGAGAAGUAACUUGCUCCUUGAAGUUGAUCAAACAAAUUAUCUAUCCUUGGAAGAUGAUACUUAUUCUUAAUGGUAAUCUGUUCAACUGACGGUAGUCGAAACACAUACAAAGAGAGCCAUCUUUCUUUCGAACAAAAAAAACUGGAGCACCCCAUGGAGAGAUAUUUGGUCGGAUGAAACUGUAAUGCCCCGUAUCUAAAAGAGGGAGCUUAGCAAAUUUUCAGGACUUCAAAGUGUCACCCACGAGGGCCAACCACACCCCGUGGUUGGAUCCACGCCCUGUGUGUGGGCCUCGUGGAUGAGCACCCUAAAAAAUUGCCUAAGGCAGUAACCACGGCCAGGACCCACCCCCUGUGGAUGGGUCCACGACCCAUGAUUGGGCUCCGUAGGUCCAUGGCUCAAGUUCCAAAUUCUUUGAACUCAGACCACGUUUGACUAGGAGGUCUAUCCACGACCCAUCAACAUGGUCUCGUGGGUAGUCUUGAUGGUUAAGAUUAGGGGGACUUUGGGACUUUUCGGUUUCAGUUGGAUUAAAGUGAGGUCGUUUUGCCUAAGUCUAGUGUCCCUAUAUAAUUCAUCAUUAAUAUUAAACUUACCCAAUUAAGUCAUAUUUUCCAAAACCCAAAUCAAUUCACUAAAGUUCAUCCUCUCAAAAUAUUCUCUCUCUAGAACCUUGAAGAAGAAGAAGAAGAAUAAGAAGAAGAAGAAGAAGAAGAAGAAGAAGGAGAUUUAAGCUAGGGUUUGAAGACCAAGCUUUUACACAUCAAUUUAUUUGGGCAUUGUGAAUAAGGUAUGGUAGUUUUCAUCCAUGUAGUCCUCUCAAGACCUUCAAUUUCAAAAGAUAGAAAUUUCCAAAAGUUAGGAUUUGAUUCCAAAGUCAUGGGUUACUUUUAAACUUGAUUUUAAUGGUUGAAUUGAGUUAUAUUAAGCAUGAAUUGAUGAUUUCCUAUGAUUUUUAUGAUGUAUCCCCAAGAACCCAUGAAAUCCCCAUAUUUCUAAAAGUUGAUGAUAUGAUAUGGCUCUUUGUUGAUGAAAGAGGAAUUUUAUGAAUUAAUGCAUGAGGUGAUAUAAUCACAUGAAUUAUAUUGAUAUCCAUGUCUAAUGCUUAAGUUAUAGGUAUGUUGAUUGAAAGUAAGUUUUGAAGCUCAAGGAGGUAAAGUAGGAGAUUAUUCAUUUUUUGUGACGUCUUUAUGAUUGUCUUAAUGAUGCUUUGAGAGUAUAGUAUCAAUGAUUAUGUUGUUAUUGUGGGAUGAUUGAAAGGUUAUUCUCAUGAACUCAUAAUGAACUUGAUGUAAAGGUUUUCUUACAUAAUCAAGGUUCUAAGGUUGAAAGGCUUUUCUCACCUAAUUGAAUCUAAGAGUAAAAGUUAUCAUGUAUGGUGAUAGUUGAUCACACAUGGUUUAUAAAGUUAACGCAAUGAUGUACGUUGAAUUGGUGGGCCAAUGGAACCGAUGCCGGCCAAAUGGCGUCAGUACAUGGAAUGUACGAGCAUGUGAGGGGAAAUCUAAAACAAGACAUAAGCUUGAACUGGAAUUGAAAGAAACACUUACCUCAUCUCAACUCUACUCCACUCAUUUCAAUAUAAAGAAGAAUUAAAGAUGCAGUAAAAAGAAAGGCUUUAAACAUAUAUAUAUAUAUAUAUAAUAACACAAUGUAUUAGAAAAUACAAUAUGAACAAUGUUUGUAUAAGUAAUGAUACAAAAUAAGUAUGUGGGAGUUUCUCUAACCGACAACCAUCACUAUGAGCUAUGUGUUGAUACAACGUCUAUCCCACGCUGCUAGAAUUGUCCCAUACUUUGCUAGGGUAUAGAACUUACUACUAAGAGGAUCCACUAGUCUAUGCUAAAGAGUAUUAAUGAAUCAUCUAAAAAGUAUGACCCUUUCUACCCGUGUUGGGUACAUGGUUUAUGGAGACUUGAGUUAUCUGAACUUGUCCCCAUAUCGGUGCUCAAUACUACUCCCAAAAUGUAACCAGCUCAUAUGUUUAAAAACAUAACUCUUUCUGUUGUUUGAGAUUAUUACUAAAAAAUCUUUCUCUUAAAAGAGAUGGUACUAAAACUGCUCAUGAAAAAUCUUUCGGAAAAUGGUGUUUCCUAUCAUCUUAAAUGUAAAAAUAUUUGAUCUUGGGAAUACUUAGUUCCCAUAUAUCAUUUUAAAGAAAAUGAACUUGGAUAUGCUCUUCCUAAAACUCAAUGCUUAAGUCUUAAAGCAAGUUUAAACAAUUGUAAAAGACUUUUUGAAAAUACUUUAAGAAUUCUCAAGACUUGACUCUUCGCUCUACCUUGAAUUUGAAUUAUGGAUUCAAGGGUUUUGAUCUCAUGUUAUGGAUGAUCUCUCGAUGUUUAGACGUAUCGUAGAGUGUUGAAAUCAACUACAAAACAUAGGUACGAUUCAAGGGAAAUCAAACGGAAAGAAGUGAGAAAGGGUAAAGGACCUGGCGACCCAAGCGUACUCAGUGGCGCGAGGCGCUAGACCCUGAACUGCAGAAGGGAGGUUGGGGUGCACUGAGCGGCGCGGCACCCCAGAGGCCAACCUACAGACUCCUCUUUCUGGCGCACUGAGUGGCGCAGUGCGCCAGCCCCCUGCCCAGAAAACCUGACAAAUUUUUUUACUCGUUUUAUAACCCCAAUUCACCUAAAAUCGAAUGGUUUCUUCCUCAAUUACUUAGAUUAGAAUACCCAAUAAUAGAACACAAGAAUCUACUCAAAAAUAAACUUAAAACCUAUACGACUAUCUCAAGAAUUCAUCAAAACCUCAACAAUAAAGAUUAUAAAAGAAACUUCAAUACAACUCAUCUAGAACUCAAAUCUUUUAACUUCAAGAACGAAAUUACGCUGAAUAAAUCAUGAUUGGUGUGUGGGUGAAUGAACCCAACGCUAUGUGAACUCACAUACCUCUUAGGGAUCAAAACCUUGGCGAAAUCCACAACAAAAUCCUGAAGAACUUGACGAACGCUUGACUUUUCUAAUUUUCUCCUUUUCUCCUCUUCUUGAACUUCUCUCAAAACCCUAGAGUAAAUUAGAGUUUGUAAAACUGAACCAAAUCAGUUUAGACCCCUAAAUAUUACAAAUUUUCGUUUUAAGUUUAUUGGGUAAGGAAAAAGCAAAAUACCCCUCUAAAAUUUAGGUAAAUUUCCUUAACUGAACAUAGCGACUUCAAAAGUGCAUAUCUCCCUCAUACGAGCUAGAAAAUUAGCAGACUCGGUGGCGUUGUAAAGAGGAUUAGAAGACUUUCAUUUGAUAUCUUAUGGUCCACCUAACUCAUCCUGUACUAGAUUCGAAGACUUUCAUUUGAUUCCCAAUAGAGGGGACUUAAAAACCUACACGGGCACGUAGUUCUGGACUUUCUCGGUAUGCUGAACCUAAUCCAACUCAGUUCUAAGUCUACUCCCAACUGAAUAUUCAUAAAUCUAAAAUGUAGUAAAUACUGAAUAGCUCAAAAUUUGACAUGCUUACUAAGAAUGCAAGAUUUAUAUACUAAGCAUAUAGCAUACGAAAUCUAAAGUAUGGAUUUCUAUAUGGUUGGCCUAGUAAGUAUAAUUCAUGAACUAGGAUAGUUUUACAUACGCAAGGGUUCUAAGUGUUAUGCAUGUAAUUAUACUAAAUUAUCAAGAAAAAAGUUAUCUAGAUCAAAGGAACCAUAAUCACAAUAAAUCUUAAAAAUCUAGAAACCCUAGGUCUAAACAGUUUAUGAGAAUCCAAAGAACUAACUGAAUUCUAUGGACCUAAUGGGUGAAAGGAACCCAGUAGUGAAAUACCAUAUACCAGGUGACAAAAUCUAAGGAGAAAUUCUUUGUAUUUUGGGGUUGAACUUCGAAGAACACUUCUGCUUGUUCUUGAGAGAGCUGGUCACCUCUUUCUCUUCUAUUUACUCUAAGUUGGGUGAUUUUUGGCAAAUGAGGGUUUUGGGUGGGUUUUGACUAGAUGAUUAAGAUUAGACUAACUAAAAUGAUGUAGUUUAUCAUCAAACUACGUAUUUUAAGUGACCAAUGCAUAGGGGAAAAGACUAAAAUGACCGUGACUUAAAACUGACAAAGUGUCAUUCACGGUGGGACUGACGAACCGUCAUUAGGACCACGACCUAUCAAUCGGGUCGUGGUUUUAUCCUUGCCCAUUAGGUCUCUACUGAAAGAGCGUAAAUUUUGAUGAUGUUUCAAAGAGGACUCAAUUAUCUUUAAUUUGAUAGACCAUGGGUCAUCUAAUUCGUUUUAUGCUAAGAGAUAUGACUGUUUAAAGUUGACCCAAAACUUGAAGCCUGAACUGUCCGAUUCACGGUUCACUUUAUGGACCGUGUGAAGCACCACGGGACCUGUAGGCCACCGUGGAUCAGCAACCAGCGCUUCGUUGAUCCAGUCAAGUUCCGAAGUCAUUUGGUGAGCCUUCUUGCUUUUGGAGGAUCCCUUUAUUAUGUUUUGUUAUUCAGUUUCAUUAGGAUGAUCACGGGUCUUUUCCCGACAUCCCUCAUAGUUUAGAGAGGCUUUAUAGAUUGAUAGAUAGACACCAGUUCCUGAGUCUUUUCAUUUUCAUUUUGUUUAUGUUGAGAGUUGAGUUGCCUGUUUGGCUGGUUGAAUGUUUAUUUCUAAAACAUUCUAAGUUAUCAUUUGAGUUUUAGUUACUUUUUAAAGUGCUUGUAUUAUGAGUAAGUCUUCCGCUAAGAGUCAAGCCAGGCCAAGGGUUCGCUUGGGGCCAACAAUUGUUCUCGAGUGCUAGUCGUGUCCAGGAUGUAGACUCGAGGCGUGACAAAUUUAGCUUCCGCAUAUUACAUAUUUUACUUAAUUAUUCUCACUAUGCUUGAUAUACACCAGAAUCAUGGUUAUUGUGGGGUCACUCAUGAUCCUAGGUCCCAUAUUACGUGUAAGUAGAGUCUCUUUCAUUGGUGUGAAGCGCGCCACAUCUCUUUCGUUUACUUUGCUAUUCUUAUCGUGUGUGAGGUGUGAUUCACUUCUCCUUUCUAAUCCAUCGUUGUACGUUUCAGAUCAUGCCUCCUCAUAUAUCUAAUGCAUGAAAUGCUAAUUCCAACAAUACUACUGCAGUUCCUCCAGUCCCAAACCAUGAGUUCACAAAUACUGAGUUCUGCAAUGCGAUCCAGCUAUUGACUCAGACAGUAGCCAACCAGGCCAAUCAGCAGGCCCUAGUUCUUGCAAAUUCACUGGUGGAUCAGCUGCAGCUAGGGAUCGAGACUUUAUUCAUAUGAAUCCACCAGAGUUCCUAGGGUCGAAGGUUGGUGACGACCGACAAAAUUUCAUUGAUGAGGUUAAUAAGAUUCUUCAGGUAAUGCAAGUGACUAUUACUGAGAGUGUUGAGCUAGCAUCCUAUCAACUCAAGGAUGUGGCUCAUAUUUUGUUUAUGCAGUGGAAGGAAAAUAGGGGUGAGAAUGCAGCUCCUAUGAAAUGGGAUUGUUAUACUAGAACUUUUCUGGACAGGUUCUUCCCGAGAGAGUUGAGGGAGGCUAAGGCUUAGGAGUUUAUGAACUUGAAGCAGGGUUCAAUGUCAUCCCAAGAAUACGAGUUGAAGUUCACUCAACUCUUAAGGUAUGCUCCAUAUAUGGUUGCUGAUUCGAGGGCACAAAUGAGCAAGUUUUUAUUUGGAGUAUCCGAUUUGGUAAAGACCGAGUGCAGGAAUACUAUGAUUUUAGGGGAUAUAGAUAUCUCCCAACUCAUAACUCAUGCUCAGCGGGUUGAGAGAGAUAUGCUUAGGGAAAUGGAAAAGGAAAAUAAUAAGGCUAGAUUAGGGAAUUAUGAAUAUUCUCAGCAGAGGUCAGGCAGUGGAAAUCGCUCACAGUCUCCGCAGAGGUCUACAACCCCAGCACCUUCAUCAGCUAGCUCUCCUUCCUCUAGGUUUUGAGAGGAUCAGAAAGGGAAAUCAUCAGUCUCUAAGUCACAUGAGAGUAAUUCAAGUAACCGUACUUUUCUAACUUGCCUAAAGUGUGGCAAGGACCAUCUGGGUAAUAGUGUUGCUGACAAAGAUGGGUGUUUUGGGUAGGGCCAGUGUGGUCAUAUGUUGAAGGAUUUCCCUUCUAUGAGGCAAAGAGUGGGAGGUAGCAGGGCUUAGUGUACUACUUCAGCAGUGCCAACAGGUCGCCCCACUUAGUAAGGUUCCUCGUCUGGUAUAGGUGGAGGUCAACACUAGAACAGGUUGUAUGCUCUCCAGGCUCACUAGGACUAGGAAGAUUCUCCUAAUGUGGUCAUUGGUAUGUUGCGAGUCUUUCAUUUAAAUGUUUAUGCACUGUUAGAUAAAUGGUAUACACUGUCUUUUGUAACUCCAUAUAUAGUAGUAAAUUUCGGUGUCAGUCCAGAAACUCUCUUUGUCUUAGUGUACUACUUCUUAGUCUCUACUCCAAUUGGUGACCAAGUUAUAGCUAGAUGGGUAUACACAAAUUUCCCUGUCACAGUUUGCCAGAAAGUCACUACAGCAGACCUAGUAGAGUUAGAAAUGGUAGAUUUCGAUAUCAUUCUAGGCAUGGAUUAGUUAGAUUUUUUUAUGCCUCUGUCAACUAUAGAACUAGGGUGGUUCGGUUAAAGUUUCCAAAUGAGCCAGUCUUAGAGUGGAAGGAUAUUAGCUCUAUGCCUAUAGGUCGAUUUACCGCUUACCUUAAAGCCGAGAAAAUGAUUUUUAAAAGAUAUAUCUAUAAUCUUGUUCGGGUUAAGGAUUUAAACUCUCAAACUCCAACUCUUGAAUAAGUCCCUAUCGUAAAUGAAUUUCCAGAAGUGUUCCCAAAAAAUCUUCUUGGAGUCCCCUCGAAAGGGAAAUCGACUUCGGAAUAGGUCACAUUCCAGAUACACAGCCCAUUUCGAUUCCUCCUAAUUGAAUGGCUCCAGCUGAGAUAAAGGAAUUGAAAGAACAAUAGAAAGACCUUCUAGAUAAAGGCUUUAUCAGACCCAAUAUCUCUCCAUGGGGUGCUCCAGUGUUAUUCGUGUGAAAGAAAGACAUUUAUCUCAUGUUGUGCAUUGACUAUCGUCAGUUGAACAAAUUCAUAAUCAAGAAUAAGUAUCCCAUCCCGAGGAUUAAUGACUUGUUGGACUAACUUCAAGCUGCUAGUUGAUUUUCUAAGAUAGACCUCAGAUCCAGGUACCAUCAGCUUAGAGUCAGAGAUAGUGACAUCCCGAACACAACCUUUAGGACUCGGUAUGGAAAUUAUUAAUUUGUAGUUAUGUCCUUUGGACUAAUAAAUGGUCCUGCAGCUUUCAUGGGCUUAAUAAACCAGGUGUUCAAGCAAUAUUUGGACUUGUUCGUCAUUGUUUUUAUUGAUGAUAUCCACAUUUAUUCUUUGAGUAAGAAAGGGCAUAUGACUCAUCUGAGAUUUGUUCUGCAAACACUCAAAGAUCACCAACUAUUUGCUAAGUUCAGCAAAUGUGAAUUCUAGUUACAGUCGGUAGCUUUCCUUGGUCAUGUGGUAUACAACGAAGGGAUCCGAGUAGAUUCUCAGAAAAUUGAGGCAGAGAAACACUCUCCAAGACCCACCUCUCUGAUUGAUAUUAAGAGUUUUUUGGGUUUGGCCGAUUAUUAUUGGAGGUUUGUUGAAGGAUUUCCAUCCAUAGAUUCCCUAUUGACUAAGUUAACUCAGAAAAAAGGUCACGUUUUAGUGGUCAGUUGAGUGUGAAAAAAGCUUCUUAGAACUGAUGACCAGGUUGGCUACAACUCUGGUCUUGACUCGACCAGAGGGUUUAGACGGUUAUGUGGUUUAUUGCGAUGAAUCUAGGGUCGGCCUAGGUUGUGUACUGAUGCAACAAGGUAAGGUCAUAACUUAUGCUUCUAGGUAGCUUAAAGUCCAUGAGAAGAUCUACCUGAAUCAUGACCUCGAGCUUGCAGCCUCAGUAUUUUCCCUACAGAUUUGGAGACAUUACUUGUAUGGUGUUCAUGUCGAUGUGUUCACAGAUCAUAAGAGCCUCCAAAUGUGUUACCCAGAAUGCAUUAAAUCUUUGUCAGAAGAGAAGGCUUGAAUUCCUCAAAAUACUAUGAUAUGAAAGUGCUUUAUCAUCCAUGUAAGGCCAAUAUAGUGGUUGAUUCUCUCAGCAGACUGUCUAUGUGUAAUGUAGCGGAUGUUGAGGAAGAAACGAAAGAGUUAGCCAAAGAUGUUCACCGGCUUGCUCGCUUAGGAGUUUGCCUUACGGAUACGUUAGAUGGUGGUGUGAUUGUUUAGAAUGGAUGAGAAUAAUCAUUUGUAGAGGGGGUUAAGGAAAAAUAGGAUAAUAAUCAUAUACUACAUUAGUUGAAAGAUGUAGUUCAUUAGUAAAAAGUUGAGGUUUUCUCCCAAGAGGGAGAUGGUGUACUUCAUUACCAGGGUCUCUUAUGUGUUCCAAAUGUGGGUGAGUUGAGGUAGCAGAUCCUUACAAAAGCCCGUAAUUCUAGAUAUUCUAUCUAUCCGGGUGCCACUAAGAUGCAUCGUGUCCUACGAAAAGUCCAUUGGUGGAAUGACAUGAAGAGGGACAUCGCAAAUUUUGUGGCUAAGUGUCAUAAUUGUCAGCUUGUUAAAGUUUUUCAUCGGAAACCAUGAGGUGUGAUGCAAGAGAUUAGAAUUCCCACGUGGAAGUGGGAAGUGAUGAACAUGAACUUCAUUAUGGGUGAUAGUGGAUAAAGUUACUAAGUCAACUCACUUUUUUGCCGUCAAUAAUACAGAUGUGGUGCAAGACUACGCCAAACUCUACAUCAAUGAGAUAGUCAGGUUGCAUGGGAGUUCCCUUAUCUAUCAUCUCAAAUUGAGGUCCUCAGUUUACAUCCUAUUUCUAGAAGUUGUUUCAGAAAGGUCUUGGCUUGGUACUCAGGUAAAUCUCAGUACAUCAUUUCAUCCACAAAUGGAUGGUCAUGCAGAACGAACCACUCAGACCUUGUAGGACAUAUUUAGACCUUGCAUGACAGAUUUAAAUGGUAGUUCGGAUGAUCACCUACCUCUUAUAUAGUUCAUCUAUAAAUGCAGCUUCCAUUCUAGUAUUCAGAUGGCCCUUUAUGAAGCACUAUAUGGCCGUAAGUGCAGAUCUUUGGUUGGUUGGUUUGAAGUAGGUGAAGCAACCUUUAUUGGGCCAGAUUCGGUUUAUGAGGUUAUGGAGAAAGUUCAACUCAUCAGAGAUAGACUAGAGACAACUUAGAGUCGUUAGAAUUCCUAUGCAGAAGUGAGAAGGAGGGACUUAGAGUUUGGAAUCGAUGAUUGGGUUUUCUUGAAGAUAUCACCCAUAAAGGGGAUGAUGAGAUUUGUCAAGAAAGGGAAUCUCAAUCCCAGGUAUGUAGGUCCUUACAGAAUACUAAAAAGGGUAGUUACGGUGGCUUAUGAGUUAGAGCUACCAGUAGAACUAGUUGCGGUUCACCCAGUCUUUCACAUUUCCUUGUUGAAAAAGUGUGUGGAUGAUCCGACAUCAAUAGUACCCUUAGAGAAUGUGGUUGUGAAGGAUAGUUUCACCUAUGAGGAGAUUGCUGUUGAAAUUCUUGACCGGAAGGUUCGUAGGUUUAGGAAUAAGGAGGUCGCUUCACUCAAGGUUUUCUGGAGAAGUCAGUCCACAGAGAGAGCUACUUGGGAAGUAGAAUCAACCAUGAUAGCCAAGUAUCCUCAUCUCUUUCCUUCCGAUUCUGUAUUAGCUUGAGGUAAUAGUUCCUCUCCAGUCUUUCAGUUUACUCUUGUGUAAUUCAGUAUCAGUAUCUUGUUUUCUCAGUUAUCCUUUCUUUUCAGCAUAUUUGUAUGUUCAUGAAACUCAGUUCAGUUAAAUAUCAGCUUCUAGUACUCAAUUGGUAGGAAUUUCAACUCUUUCCUCCAAACACAGCUUGUUUAGCGUUCAUUCGAGGACAAAUGAUCCCAAGGGGGAGAUAUGGUAACACCUUAGAAAUUUACCUAAGACUUAACCAGGAAUAUAGGUGAACCACAUAGGUCCAUGAGCCCUUACAUGGACCGUGGAACCCCACACGCUCAGUCAAUAUGCCCGUGAAAGAAAGACAGAGACCCUCCUCUAAGGACAGUGAGGAACCACAGACCACUAGAUGAUCCGUGGAACCUCACACGAUCCGUCAUAUGUGCCGUUGAAAUGACCUAGUAUAACCCUACCUCAUUGUGAAGACUGAAGAACCACAGUGUCCUACACAGCUUGUGGUGCUUUAUAUGGUCCGUGAAGUGGACUGUGAAUGGGGAAUUUCAGCCUUCAAUUUUUUGGGUCAACUUGAAACAGUAAUAUCUUUUAACACAAAAUAAAUUAGGUGGCCGAUAACCUAUGAAAUUAAAGAUAAUUGAGUCCUCUUUCCAACACCACUACAUUUGAUAAAAUCGAAGCUCAGAGGAAAACGUUAUGCUUAUUUCAGUAGAUCCCUUUUGGGAAGGGCCUCAACCACGACCCAGUUGAUGGGCCUUGGUCAUAAUGACGACUGUCAGUCCCACAAUGAAUGGAACUUCAUCUAUUUUAAGUUAGGGUCAUUUUGUUCCAUUCCUCUAUGCACUGGACUCUUAAAAUACAUCGUUUGAUGCCUAAACUACGUCGUUUUACUCAGUCUAAGCCUAAUAAUCUAGUUAGAACCAACCCAAAACCCUCAUUUUCCAAAAAUCACCUAACUCAGCGCAAAAAGAAGAGAAAGAGGCGACCAACUCUUCCAAGAACAAGCAGAAGCAUUCUUCAAAGUUUAACCCCGAAAUUUGAAGGAUUUCUUUAUGGAUUUCAUCACCGGGUAUGUGGAAUUUCACUAGUAGGUUCCUUUCACCCAUUAGGUCCCUAGAAGUUAGUUCUUCAGAUUCUCAUAAACUGUUCAGACCUAGGGUUUUUAAAUUUUCAAGAUUUAUUUUGAUUAUGGUUCCUUUGAUCUAAAUAACAUGGUUCUGGAUAAUUUAGUAUAAUUCCAUGCAUAGAACUCAGAACCCUAGCCUUUUUAAACCUAUCCUAUGUCAUGAGUUAUACUUGCUAGGACAACCAAAUAGAAAUUCAUGCUUCAGAUUUCGAAUGUCAUAUCCUCAGUAUAUAAAUGUUGCAUUCUUAGUUAGCAUGUCCGUUUUAGAGCUAUUCGGUAUUUAGUGUAUUUUAGCUUUAUGAAUAUUCAUUUGGGAGUAGACAUAGCACUGAAUUGGAUUAGGGUUCAGCGUACCCUCAAAGUCCCAGAACCGUAUGCCCGCAUAGAUUUGUAAUUCCCCUCUGUCUGGCAUCAGUUUUAGUGAUCAGGCCAAAGUCAUUCCUCUAUACCCCUGACAAGAUAUAUUGGGUUCUCUUGAUGGGGUGUAUGCAUCAGACUCCACGUUUAGCUCACGUGGUUUAUGUUGGUAGAUAGUAGCUCCCCAAUCAGACUCUUAUUGCAUUGACCAUAUUUUCAACAUUUAUUUUAGUAUACACGUCAUCAUGUUAUCUUCAUGAUUAGUACUUGGUCAUUGCAUCCGGUUUAGUUUUUAGUUAUACUUCAGUACAUAUCUAUAUCUUUGUUCAGAUUAUAUCAUGGCUGAGUUAUGCAUUGUUCAACUUAUAUAAUUUGUUCACCUUAGCAUAUUUAUAUCUUGCAUGCUCAGUACAUUCCAAGUACGGAAGCAUACAUUACACUACAUAGUUUCAUGAUGUAGGUUCAAGCACUUAGCUUCCACCUCACGCUUAGAUCGAUUCUCGAUUCGACUUUAGCACCUUCAGUGGUGAGUCCUCAUACUUCAGGGACAAUAGACAUGCUUUAUAUUUUGGUCUUUACUUUGAGUUUUCAGUCUUGUUAGAGUUAGUUGGGGGCAUGUCCCAUCAACUCAACUCAGUUAGAGGCUUUUCAUACAUAGUAGUAUAUUCAGCUCGAAAUGUUAAGUGCUUGUGUCAUUCAUCACUAAACUCUUGUUAUUUAUAUUUACUUUCAGAUCAGUUGGGCUUUGUUUCUUCUUCAGAUAUCAAUCGAUUUAGCUUCCACAUAUUAUAUGUUUUACUUAGUUACACUCAGUAUGCUUGAUAUAUGACAAACUCAGGGAUAGCUUGGGGUCACUCGUGAUCCUAGGUGUAACACCUCAAAACCUAACAAAGACUGAACAACAAAAAAUUAAUGAACCACAGAGGGGUUCACGAUCCAUGAAAAGAACCACAACCCAUCACCCUCAUCGUGGUUCAGACCCAGCCACAUGCGGUGGACCACAAAGCCCUCCACAGGCCGUGGUCCCACUGAUGACCCGUGGGUUGGUAUAACGACCUGACCCAGUAGACCCUAGCCAAACCUGAAGAACCACGGUAGCCUUCACACCCCAUAGUCCUUCACACAAUCCGUGGAAGGGACUGUGCAUGGGUGUACCAAGUACUAAUAGACUCUGGCCAAGAACCAGGACCCACUCGAUGGGUUGUGGUCCCAUUGAUGGUACAUCAGUUGUCUCGUGGAUGGCCCCUCGUCAUCCUUCAGUCAAGGUCGUUUUGGUCUUUUCCCCUAUGCAUUGGGCAUCAAAACUACGUCAUUUAAGACCUAAAGUACGUUGUCUUACUCAUUCAUAGCCUAAUAAUCUAGUCAAAACAUACAAAAAACCCUCAUUCCUAAAAAAUUAUCAAAACUUAGAGCAAAAAAAAGAA
rnacentral:lncRNA from 1 species